rnacentral:tRNA from 2 species
GCCGGGGUGGCGGAAUGGCAGACGCACGGGACUUAAAAUCCCGGGGUGGGUUUUCCACCGUGUCGGUUCAAGUCCGACCCUCGGCACCA